UAUUGAUCCAAUUUUGUUCUGAUUUGUUCUUUCUGCUUCUCUUCUCUCUGCAAAAUUGAUGCAAUCUUUUACCCUAUAUUGGUUCUCCUUUUGCGUUGGUUACACCUGUUGACCAAAUUCAGAUAUCGACAAGAAAAUUUGUUAUCGAUCCAUGUGUGCUAGAGGGCUAAACAGAUUCGACAGGGACCAAAUAACACAUUUUGUGAUGUUUGUGAAUUGAUUAUUUGAGUUUUUUGUUUUACAUAUGGUUAGUUAUCCUUGUGAAUAUAAAGGUAAUAAAAUGUUCCUUUAUAGUUGAA